GAGCUUACUUUAGCAGCACAUAUAUUAAAAUGGAAAUGAUACAGAGAAGAUUAGCACGACCCCUGCACAAGGAUGACACACAAAUUUGUGAAACGUUCCAUAUUUUA